UUUGCUCCUCCCUAGGUAGGAUUUCAGGGGGUUCCCAUGGUAACCAAUACCAAAUCUGAGCGCACUGGCUAAUCUUCACUACUGAUUGUUGAGACUGUACAUGUGAGUUGCAUACUUUCAGGACCCCUGUUGCUUCUCUUAGAAUUGACGAUGAACAUGUGUGGAACCUCAUCGCUCUGAGUUAUCGUGGCGCCGAUUAAAGGAAGGGACCCUCGCGGCUUCUGGCUCCUUCCUUGUUCGUUGACAUAAUAUAGCAGCAAUCCUAAAUCUGGAUCCAACACAAAGUACCUGCAAAAAUAAAAAUGAAUGAAUUGCUGCUUAAAUAGUUGCAAACAUUCAAAGAUGU